rnacentral:other from 7 species
AACAACCUGAAAUGUACGAGAACUCCUGUUGUUUUGAACCUACAUUUACUUUAAACGGGAUUCCUAUAUUGCCGGGUAGAUGUCAGGCCCUCAUUGCGCAGGGGAAGGCAGAAGCGCCGGUUGCGGUUACCCACCUGGCCUUGGCUAGGAGUCAGAAGAUGGGAGGCGGCAUUUUGGGGGAUAC